CAAGGAAUUUUCCCCAAUGGGCGCAAGCCUGAGGGAGCAACGCCGCGUGCAGGAUGACGGCUUUCGGGUUGUAAACUGCUUUUGGGUGGGACGAUAAUGACGGUACCAUCCGAAUAAGCCCCGGCUAACUCCGUGCCAGCAGCCGCGGUAAGACGGAGGGGGCAAGCGUUGUCCGGAUUUACUGGGCGUAAAGCGCACGUAGGCGGUCUGAUGCGUCGAUGCUGAAAACGCCGGGCUUAACCCGGCGAGGCGUGUCGAUACGAUUAGACUAGAGGCAGGUAGAGGGUAGCGGAAUUCCGGGUGUAGUGGUGAAAUGCGUAGAGAUCCGGAGGAACGCCGGUGGGGAAGCCGGCUACCUGGGCCUGACCUGACGCUGAGGUGCGAGAGCGUGGGGAGCGAACCGG
rnacentral:rRNA from 1 species